rnacentral:rRNA from 1 species
AGUGAACGCUGGCGGUAGGCCUAACACAUGCAAGUCGAACGGCAGCACAGUAAGAGCUUGCUCUUACGGGUGGCGAGUGGCGGACGGGUGAGGAAUACAUCGGAAUCUACUUUUUCGUGGGGGAUAACGUAGGGAAACUUACGCUAAUACCGCAUACGACCUACGGGUGAAAGCAGGGGAUCUUCGGACCUUGCGCGAUUGAAUGAGCCGAUGUCGGAUUAGCUAGUUGGCGGGGUAAAGGCCCACCAAGGCGACGAUCCGUAGCUGGUCUGAGAGGAUGAUCACCAACAUGGGCACGGAGACAGGGCCCAGACCCUACGGGGAGGAGGCGGGGGGGAUUAUGGGACAGGGGGCGGAGGCUGGACCAGCCCAUCCGGGGGGGGUAAAGAAGGCCUCGGGGUUGAAAACCCUUUUUGUGGGAAAAAAAAAGCAGGAGGCAAAUACCCCGGUUUUGGGAGGGAACCAAAAAAAAAAGCCCGGGCAACCUUGGUC